ACGGCAGCACGGGAGCAAUCCUGGUGGCGAGUGGCGAACGGGUGAGUAACGCAUCGGAACGUGCCCUGGAGUGGGGGAUAGCCCGGCGAAAGCCGGAUUAAUACCGCAUACGACCUGAGGGUGAAAGCGGGGGACCGCAAGGCCUCGCGCUCCAGGAUCGGCCGAUGUCAGAUUAGGUUGUUGGUGGGGUAAAGGCCUACCAAGCCGACGAUCUGUAGCUGGUCUGAGAGGACGACCAGCCACACUGGGACUGAGACACGGCCCAGACUCCUACGGGAGGCAGCAGUGGGGAAUUUUGGACAAUGGGGGCAACCCUGAUCCAGCAAUGCCGCGUGCGGGAAGAAGGCCUUCGGGUUGUAAACCGCUUUUGUCGGGGACGAAAAGGGCUUGGCUAAUACCCGAGUCCGAUGACGGUACCCGAAGAAUAAGCACCGGCUAACUACGUGCCAGCAGCCGCGGUAAUACGUAGGGUGCAAGCGUUAAUCGGAAUUACUGGGCGUAAAGCGUGCGCAGGCGGUUGUGUAAGCCAGAUGUGAAAUCCCCGGGCUCAACCUGGGAACUGCAUUUGGGACUGCACGGCUUGAGUGCGGCAGAGGGAGAUGGAAUUCCGCGUGUAGCAGUGAA
rnacentral:rRNA from 1 species